rnacentral:rRNA from 1 species
AGCCCCCCUCAAGAUGAGAUUUCCCAAUUCGUAAGACCCCUUGAAGACGACGAGGUAGAUAGGUUGGAGGUGGAAGUGCAGCAAUGCAUGGAGCUGACCAAUACUAAUCGGUCGAGGGCUUAUCCUACAA